ACGGGUAAGAGAAAAAUUGAAAUCUUACUAUCUCGAUAUAAUUGCAAUUAAUGUUUCGAAUGCGGAGUGGCCAAUAUAGGGUGUUAGAUACAACGAAUUUUCGUGUAAUUUUGUAAAAUAAAUGUGCUCAAAGGCUUUAUAUGCGACUGUUAAACAAUCUGUCAUGAAACAAGGAAAACGUGAAACAGACAUUACUUUGAUAUGGUCAUAAACGAUAUCUUGAGUUGUGUAUAUAAAUACACUUUAAACAUUAAAUCUUUUUCAUUGUUGAAUAUUUUGCGUAAAGGAGAUAACAUUUUUCAAAGGUUUCAGAUAGAUUAUCAAGAUGUCAUCCCAAGGCAGCCAAUCAGGAAGCAGCAAUAGUUCUAGCACCGGGAAUGGCCCGACGUGCACAGUAAGCAACCCUAGUAUUGACGAUUCCAUCGGUGUGAGUAUGUCUUGUACUGGUACAGGUUCAAGCGGCUCUGGAGUUCAAACAACUUAUAAUGUAGAAGUCAGUGACAAUGGAGCCUCAGGUUCUGUUGGCGUCAAGAUACCAAUUUAGCUAGACAUGUUGCAACCUUUAACCUUUGACUUAAUAAAAAAUCUACCAGGGAGAAAGAAAAACAGAAAAGAACAACCUCUUGACAACUAUUUCAAAACAUUCUUAUUUUAUGUUACUGUCCGUUACAAAAAUGUGACUUUGAUAUUUCUUGAAUUGUUAAAGCACUGAAGAAAGAAAUUGCUAACAAUGUCUUAAUAAAGACAAAAUCUUGAAAAAUUUA